rnacentral:rRNA from 1 species
UAGGGGGAAACCCUGAUCCAGCCAUGCCGCGUGAGUGAAGAAGGCCUUCGGGUUGUAAAGCUCUUCAGCCGGAACGAAACGGUCACGGUUAAUACCCGUGACUACUGACGGUACCGGAAGAAGAAGCACCGGCUAACUACGUGCCAGCAGCCGCGGUAAUACGUAGGGUGCGAGCGUUAAUCGGAAUUACUGGGCGUAAAGCGUGCGCAGGCGGUUUUGUAAGUCAGAUGUGAAAUCCCCGGGCUUAACCUGGGAACUGCGUUUGAAACUACAAGGCUAGAGUGUGGCAGAGGGGGGUGGAAUUCCACGUGUAGCAGUGAAAUGCGUAGAGAUGUGGAGGAACACCGAUGGCGAAGGCAGCCCCCUGGGUUAACACUGACGCUCAGGCACGAAAGCGUGGGGAGCAAACAGGAUUAGAUACCCUGGUAGUCCACGCCCUAAACGAUGUCAACUAGUUGUCGGGUCUUAACGGACUUGGUAACGCAGCUAACGCGUGAAGUUGACCGCCUGGGGAGUACGGUCGCAAGAUUA